rnacentral:rRNA from 1 species
GGUGAGUAACACGUGGGCAACCUGCCCUGCAGACUGGGAUAACUUCGGGAAACCGGAGCUAAUACCGGAUAACACCGAAAACCGCAUGGUUUUCGGUUGAAAGGCGGCUUUUAGCUGUCACUGCAGGAUGGGCCCGCGGCGCAUUAGCUAGUUGGUGAGGUAACGGCUCACCAAGGCGACGAUGCGUAGCCGACCUGAGAGGGUGACCGGCCACACUGGGACUGAGACACGGCCCAGACUCCUACGGGAGGCAGCAGUAGGGAAUCUUCCGCAAUGGACGAAAGUCUGACGGAGCAACGCCGCGUGAGCGAAGAAGGUCUUCGGAUCGUAAGGCUCUGUUGUCAGGGAAGAACAAGUACCGUUCGAACGGGGCGGUACCUUGACGGUACCUGACGAGGAAGCCACGGCUAACUACGUGCCAGCAGCCGCGGUAAUACGUAGGUGGCAAGCGUUGUCCGGAAUUAUUGGGCGUAAAGCGCGCGCAGGCGGUUCCUUAAGUCUGAUGUGAAAUCUCGCGGCUCAACCGCGAGCGGCCAUUGGAAACUGGGGAACUUGAGUGCAGGAGAGGGGAGCGGAAUUCCACGUGUAGCGGUGAAAUGCGUAGAGAUGUGGAGGAACACCAGUGGCGAANGCGGCUCUCUGGCCUGUAACUGACGCUGAGGCGCGAAAGCGUGGGGAGCGAACAGGAUUAGAUACCCUGGUAGUCCACGCC